rnacentral:lncRNA from 1 species
CUUCUUCCUGCUCCCUUGUGCCCCAUUUGGACUUCACUCGUAACAAGGGAGUAUAACUGGAUGGUAAAAGGGACUUUUCCUGUUAUCUAGACAUUUCAGCAGAGGCCUCAAAGGCAGAACAAAAUAGUGCAAGGAGCCGCACAUCCGCACAGUGCUGAGACCCUGCCCAGGACAAGCUUGACAAAAAAGAAGAAAAUUGGGUCUUGUUAUGUUGCCCAGGCUGGUCUCCAACUCCUGGCCUCAAGUGAUCCUCCCAGCUUGUCCUUCCAAAGUGUUGGGAUUAUAGGUGUGAGCCACUGUGCCUGGCCAUGUCUGAAUGUUGAAUGUUGACAGCUUCAGUGAAUUGACCCCUCUUUCACCUAUGGGACUUAUGAAGAGAGAAUCUUUCUGGCAUUGCAUAAUCCUUCCCAAGAGUACUUUAGCUGUGGUAACCCUUCUUGUUAUAAAACAUGCCAGGUAUGAUGAUGGAGAUCAGCUGAGCUGGACUUAGAAUCUUCUCUAAGAACAUUUACAGGCACUCAGUGUUAACAGCAGGGCAGAUGUAGGUUUCUGGGAACCUGAGGCUUAUAGGAACUGGAGUUCAUUGUAAGAAAAAGAAUAUCAAAUUAUGAAGACAAAAUUAGGCAUCAAUGUGAAUAUUAAUUUAGGAGAAAUCACAACAAAUCGCACAUCCUGAAAAGCUAACAAAUACUGCAUACAUCGCAGAAUCUAGAAGCAUAACAAUAUUUGUAUUGGUUAACUUGGACAUAUCACUAUAGUAUGCUUUUUUUCUACAUUUUGGGCUAUAUUUUUUUCCUAUUCUUUUUGGUUGAUGUCCUUGUAGUAGUGGCUACAUGUUAGUAGGCACUAACCCUAGUAGUAACUAAUCCUAGUAGUAGGGUUCAUGUUAUUGUUGUCGAUGUCUGUAUUUUGUGAUCAAAUCACCAAGACUGCAAAUCCUUCUUUCAACAUAUUCAUAUGAUUCACUCCCCUUCAUUAAAUUGGGUUAUUCAAACAAUUAUGCUCCAAAUUUAUCUCUUCCUCUUAAUCAAGUACUACUUUGGCAUGAUCUGAUUUUUAUAAUUAUUCUCUCUUCUCAUCUUUAUUAUUUAUAUUUUCUUAGCUAUUAUGAUUCUUCUUCUCAAUUUCAUGCUUUUGUCUAUCAGGCUUUUUAGCUUCUGUUGUGAUAGAACAAAAGAGUUUUUGACAUUUUGUAACUUCUUCCAGUCUUUUAUCUUUCAGUUUUUGUCUGAGACUUCUACUAGGAUGUUUUCUUCUCAACACGCUUGAUUUUUGUAUAGUUAAUAAUUUUGAAAUAAAGGCAUUCUCAAGAGCAGUUCAAAUGCACUUGAAAAUUGCUGAAAUGUAUUGAGUUGCAUAUUGCAUAAUCAAAUUACUUUUUUGCCACAUAGACUGAUCUAUUGGUGAGUAUGUGUAGGGGUUUCAUUACCCUGGAGUCCUUUUUCUUUGCUUUUUUUCCCCUUUCUUUCCAUUUCUGUGGCAAUUUGGUGAACAGUUUCAUCAGGAAGUGUGAGACUUCAUAAGGGCAAGAGGAUCAGAUAGAUACUCUAAGGGUGAUCCGUUCAGUUUGCACAAUAAAUCUGUGGAAGACAUCAUAUGUACAGUGGAAUCUUCUUUCUUUGCAGAGAAAAGUGGACAAGCAUCCAAUUUCCAAAUCAAUUCUUGGGAUAAAUUGGUAUAACUUGUUGGAAAGCAG